GUGCUUGCACAUUUUGGACGUCGACCGGCGCACGGGUGAGUAUCGCGUAUCCAACCUGCCCUUUACUUGGGGAUACCCCGUUGAAAGACGGCCUAAUACCCGAUGUAAUUCAUUGAUGGCAUCAGAUAUGAAUAAAAGAUUUAUCGGUAAAGGAUGGGGAUGCGUCUGAUUAGCUUGUCGGUGAGGUAACGGCUCACCAAGGCAACGAUCAGUAGGGGUUCUGAGAGGAAGGUCCCCCACAUUGGAACUGAGACACGGUCCAAACUCCUACGGGAGGCAGCAGUGAGGAAUAUUGGUCAAUGGGCGCAAGCCUGAACCAGCCAAGUAGCGUGCAGGAAGACGGCCCUAUGGGUUGUAAACUGCUUUUAUACGAGAAUAAUUUGAUGCACGUGUGCGUUAUUGCAUGUAUCGUAUGAAUAAGGACCGGCUAAUUCCGUGCCAGCAGCCGCGGUAAUACGGAAGGUCCAGGCGUUAUCCGGAUUUAUUGGGUUUAAAGGGAGUGUAGGCGGUUUGUUAAGCGUGUUGUGAAAUUUAGAUGCUCAACAUUUAACUUGCAGCGCGAACUGUCAGACUUGAGUACACGCAACGUAUGCGGAAUUCAUGGUGUAGCGGUGAAAUGCUUAGAUAUCAUGAAGAACUCCGAUUGCGAAGGCAGCAUACGGGAGUGUAACUGACGCUUAAGCUCGAAGGUGCGGGUAUCGAACAGGAUUAGAUACCCUGGUAGUCCGCACAGUAAACGAUGGAUGCCCGCUGUUAGCGCCUGGCGUUAGCGGCUAAGCGAAAGCAUU
rnacentral:rRNA from 1 species